rnacentral:rRNA from 1 species
UACAGAGGGUGCAAGCGUUAAUCGGAAUUACUGGGCGUAAAGCGCGCGUAGGUGGUUCGUUAAGUCGGAUGUGAAAUCUCCAGGCUCAACCUGGAGGGGUCAUUCGAUACUGCCAUGACUAGAGGUCGGUAGGGGAGUGUGGAAUUCCUGGUGGAGCGGUGAAAUGCGCAGAUAUCAGGAAGAACACCCGUGGCGAAGGCGGCUCUCUGGGACGGUACUGACGCUGAGACGCGAAAGCGUGGGGAGCGAACAGG